rnacentral:rRNA from 1 species
GACGAACGCUGGCGGCGUGCCUAAUACAUGCAAGUUGAGCGCUGAAGGUUGGUACUUGUCCCAACUGGAUGAGCAGCGAACGGGUGAGUAACGCGUGGGGAAUCUGCCUUUGAGCGGGGGACAACAUUUGGAAACGAAUGCUAAUACCGCAUAAAAACUUUAAACACAAGUUUUAAGUUUGAAAGAUGCAAUUGCAUCACUCAAAGAUGAUCCCGCGUUGUAUUAGCUAGUUGGUGAGGUAAAGGCUCACCAAGGCGAUGAUACAUAGCCGACCUGAGAGGGGGAGCGGCCACAUGGGGACUGAGACACGGCCAAAACGCCUACGGGAGGCAGCAGUAGGGAAUCUUCGGCAAUGGACGAAAGUCUGACCGAGUAACGCGGCGGGAGUGAAGAAGGUUUUCGGAUCGUAAAACACUGUUGGUAGAGAAGAACGUUGGUGAGAGUGGAAAGCUCAUCAAGUGACGGUAACUACCCAGAAAGGAACGGCUAACUACGU